rnacentral:rRNA from 1 species
GAACGAACGCUGGCGGCAGGCCUAACACAUGCAAGUCGAGCGAUCCAGCAAUGGGGAGCGGCAGACGGGUGAGUAACACGUGGGAACGUACCCUUCGGUUCGGAAUAACUCAGGGAAACUUGAGCUAAUACCGGAUACGUCCGAGAGGAGAAAGAUUUAUUGCCGAAGGAUCGGCCCGCGUCUGAUUAGCUAGUUGGUGAGGUAAUGGCUCACCAAGGCGACGAUCAGUAGCUGGUCUGAGAGGAUGAUCAGCCACAUUGGGACUGAGACACGGCCCAAACUCCUACGGGAGGCAGCAGUGGGGAAUAUUGGACAAUGGGCGCAAGCCUGAUCCAGCCAUGCCGCGUGAGUGAUGAAGGCCUUAGGGUUGUAAAGCUCUUUUACCUGGGAAGAUAAUGACGGUACCAGGAGAAUAAGCCCCGGCUAACUUCGUG